CGCUAUAAGAGCAGCCGGUAUGGCGCCGAGACGAGCUAGUGAUGAGCACAGCCAGGACCGUAGCCGCACACUCGAAGCAUUCGAAGUCGCGUGUAGUUCGGAAAUGUCUGCCUCCGGAUCGACGCAGUUCAUGGUGCGCCAGAGCACUGCCGCGACUGGCCUGCGCGUAGGCCCCACUUCGGACGGCAUACGGGACAGUGGACGGUCCCUGAAAUGCUUGCAGUCGCAGCUGGCUCCCGUGAGCGCGUGCGCUCGCGCGCUGAGUACGUCGACGACACUCCAUCAACAGCCUCAGCCUGCCACGCUGUCGGCGCUACCAAAUCAUGUUCGCGCCUACGUCGAGGAGAAGCAGCGCCUGUGCCAACCCAGUGCCGUGCACAUCUGCGAUGGCAGCGAGGCCGAGAACAACCACCUGCUCGACCUCAUGCUCAAGGCUGGCAGUAUCGUGCCACUGCCAAAGUACCGGAACUGCUACUUGGCUCGUACAGACCCAGCUGAUGUUGCCCGUGUUGAGAGCAAAACAUUCAUCACUACGGAAAGGCGGGAAGAAACCAUCCCAACACCAAAAGAGGGCGUCAAAGGCACCUUGGGCAACUGGAUGUCUCCAGCAGAUUUGCAAAACGCCCUCGGUGAACGCUUUCCUGGUUGCAUGAAAGGUCGGACCAUGUAUGUGAUCCCAUUCAGCAUGGGUCCUCUUGGCUCUCCAUUGAGCAAGAUUGGAAUUCAGCUCACAGAUUCGCCGUAUGUGGUUGCCAGCAUGCGCAUCAUGACUCGCAUGGGCUCUGAAGUGCUGCGGACUUUAGGAAGUGGCCCGUUCAUCAAGUGCUUGCACUCUGUAGGACAGCCGUUGCCCAUGAAGACACCUCCUGUGAACAACUGGCCUUGCAAUCCUGAAAAAACUAUUAUUACACACAUUCCUGACAACAAUGAGAUCUGUUCAUUUGGUAGUGGCUAUGGUGGCAACUCUCUGCUUGGAAAGAAGUGCUUUGCCCUACGUCUUGGUUCCAUACUGGCGCAGAGGGAAGGCUGGUUGGCUGAGCACAUGCUGAUUUUGGGCAUUACGAAUCCUAAAGGACAAAAAAAGUACAUUGUUGCUGCAUUCCCCAGUGCAUGUGGGAAAACCAACUUGGCUAUGAUGACUCCGACUCUCCCUGGUUACAAAGCGGAAUGUGUUGGGGAUGACAUUGCUUGGAUGAAAUUUGAUGAACAAGGUGUACUCAGAGCCAUCAACCCUGAAUAUGGAUUCUUCGGAGUGGCUCCUGGCACAUCCAUGGCUACUAACCCCAAUGCAAUGAAAACGAUAGAGGAGAACACCAUCUUCACCAAUGUGGCUGAAACCAGUGAUGGUGGCUUUUGGUGGGAAGGAAUGCCUGAGCCGAGCCCCGGCAUUCGCAUCAAGUCAUGGCGAGGUGAAGACAACUGGACCCGGGCUUCUGGAACACCUGCUGCACACCCUAACUCCCGGUUCUGCACUCCUGCUGGCCAGUGCCCGAUCAUUGACCCUGCGUGGGAAGACCCUAAGGGCGUGCCUAUUUCUGCCAUUCUCUUUGGGGGACGCAGGCCUCAGGGUGUUCCAUUGGUCUAUGAAGCUUUCAACUGGCAGCAUGGCGUUUUCAUUGGGUCAGCCAUGAGGUCUGAAGCUACCGCUGCUGCGGAGCACAAGGGCAAGGUGAUUAUGCAUGACCCAUUUGCCAUGCGGCCAUUUUUUGGAUACAACUUCACCAACUACCAAAGGCAUUGGCUGAGUCUUGGUACGAAGGCGGGAAGGAAGCUUCCAAAGAUCUUUCAUGUAAACUGGUUCCGCAAGGGCUCUGACGGAAAGUUUUUGUGGCCUGGAUUUGGUGAAAACAGCCGUGUCAUUGACUGGAUCUGCCGUCGUGUGGAUGGUGAAAAUGGAACUGCUAAGGAAUCUCCUAUUGGUUACCUUCCUUCGGAUGGAGCUUUGAACCUGGAUGGCCUACAAGAUCCAGUGAACAUGAAGGAGCUGUUUGAUGUGAACAAGGACUUCUGGCUUCAGGAGUGCAGCGAAGUUCGCAAGUACUUUGAUGAGCAACUUGGCAAGGAGCUGCCCAACGAAAUUGCCCAGGAGCUUGACCAGCUGGAGCAGCGGGUGAAGGCCAUGUAGGCUGCGUGUGAUGCAGUCCUCUCUGUUGUCUCUCCCAUAGCCAAUUUAGCCUUUGUGCCAUGACAAAUCAGCUCAAGCUGCCUCAUGACUGUAGUUGCCAAUUGCCGGUGCCAGAUACGUGAUUUUCGGCACAUUACCACUCUGUACGAUAUACUGUUGAUGAGCAACAUUCAAGUGCCUUUUGGGACCACACCUUAUAUAAUGCGAAGACUAUGUGGUCUAGUCUAUUCCAGAAACUUGUAAAUAAUGUGAAAAUGGUUUUUAUUUAUGAACAUUUUAGCUUUUGGAGCAGGUUCAAGUGCCUCUUCGGGCAUUUUCUGGAGAAUAAAGUAUUUUUUUAUGCAGAGCA
rnacentral:misc_RNA from 1 species